GAAGCCAGUUCCCCAGCGGGCCAUCGCCCUGAGGCCACCCAGUCGACCAGAGGCGCAGGGCCAGCCUGACAUAGUCAGGUUUGGAACCCACCAUGAAUCCUGCAUCUGCCAGGCGUGAGUCCAGCGGGGAUGGGUCCAGGCGUGAGUCCAGACGCUCAACUUCACGACCUCGAGUGUUGGAUGCUUCCUCACCUUCGGAUUCACAGGUGUAUGUUGCCUCUGCUCCACCUCACCAGGGACCUUCAGUACCCGGGACACCAACCAGCCAGGGACCUUCAGUACCCGGGACACCAGCCAGCCAGGGACCUUCAGUACCCGGUACACCAUCCCGCCAGCAAUCUUUUAUACAUGCCAUCCCAUCCCACCAGCAAUCUUUUAUAAGUGCUAUACCAUCCAGGCAGCGACCUUCAGUACAAGCCAUACCAUUCAGGCAGCGACCUUCAGUACGUGCCACACCAUCCAGUCAGAGACCUUCAGUACGUGCCACACCGUUCAGUCAGCGACCUUCAGUACGUGCCACACCAUCCAGUCAGAGACCUUCAGUACGUGCCACACCAUCCAGCCAGCGACCCUUAGUUCGCGGUACAUCAUCCACUAGGUCCUUGCAGUCAGUGCACAGAGAUCGCAUUGCCGACAGAUUACCAAAGAAAUACACCCAACAAGAGAAAGUGCCACCAACUCGACUGGUCCAAGGGUCUGAGAAAAUUAAGAUACCUGAAGCCGUCAAAACACAGGCUGAGGGCCAGGACAGGCGCUCAAAAAGAUUCAGAGAUAGCUUCUGGCACUUUUGCUGCUCAGCCAAUGGGAUAUUGAAGUUCUUGAGGAUGUGUAUUACGGCAACAUCCAUGUUUUGUUUCAUCAUUGGUGGUGCCCAGGAGCUGUUUGUAGUCAUCAUGAUUCAGGAAACCUGCAUCGUCCUAUUUUUCAUCAUAAUCUAUUUGGCAACCCUCCAAACCACGAUGGCCUGUAUCCACUGGCCUCUGCUUGAUAUGAUCAACUCUGCCAUUUCAACGGUAUUUCUUGGAAUAGUUGGUCUACUAGUCAUUGGGAAAAAAAAUACAAAGGAUCUAUGCUAUGCUGGAGGGAUCCUGUGCCUCUCGGCAGCAGUCCUGUGUGUCAUCGAUGCAUUGCUGUUUACUGAGAAGAGGAGGAACAAAGCGAAAAGUUCCCUGGCGAAGGAAACUAAGCCCUCUGCCACCCAACUGAGGCAGAAGCAGCACUGAAGUCACCCAGCCCUCCGCAGCAUUUGGCGGAGACUCAAGAUCAUAUCUACAUGUAUAAUCACUCCCACCAGGCCAUCACGGAGCUCCCAUGCCCACGGCUGCAUGGUCUCUGCACUAGACUACUUUGAAUCAAUGCGCCCACAUCCCGUCCUG